UGGAGAGGAGAUGGUGGCGAUGAUGCUGGAAAUCCUAGAGAGGAUGAGAGUGGAAGACCCGGUCAGAGGGAACUGGUAUGUGCCCAAGACGGAAUGCGGGACCGUCUGGUGUGGUGCUAGCAGUAUAGCAAUAGGGGUUGUGCUGGAGAUCGAAGGCGCUGCGGUGGAGGACGAGGCCUGGCUUCGGAAAGCAGAUGACUUCAACCAUAUCA